GGACAUUUGGUUAUGUUUUCCCUCCUAUUUUCCUAUUUUAGAAUAAAAUUCCAUCUUCAUGUAGACAUUUUAUUAAAUAUCAAAAGUGUAUAAAUCUCAUCAAUUUCUAGGCAAAUGUUAUGAUUGAAUUUCUGAAAAAUCUAUUUGUUUUGCUCAGAAUGUAAGAAAAAAAUGUGGUUUUCUAACAGAACGUUACAUCAUGUUAGAAUAAGAUGUGUGCUUCUUGCAGCCUUACUUGUAACCAUAACCACAACUUUUUUUCUUGAGGAAAAGAAUUAGAUGUUGUUUAGUGUACCAGGGAACAGCCUUUGGAACUCAAUUGUCAAUAAUCAUCAAGAUUUAUUUUCUCGUCUUAAAUAGCUUACAAUAGUAGUCACAGAACGAAGUGUACUUAUUUAAAGCUGAUGCUAUACCAUCAAAAGUAUAAUUUUGAAGCAAUAUGAAUGAUUGUAUGAGAAAAUUAGAAAAUGUGUCUAUGCUCUGGGCUAUGAUUAUAACGCUUAGCAGUACCAUGGGAAAUGGAUAAAGACUAAGGAGAAACAUGGAAAUGUGAAAAAUUAGACUUGGAUUGAUAGAAUCAGGUGCUUUUCAAAAAUAUCUUUUGAUUAUCCUCAGUACUGUUUUAUGUUUUAUGUAUAAUAAUAAUAAUAAUCUUUUUUAAAAAUUGAAGAUAUACUCCCAAACUUGAAGCAUAUCACUUAGAAAUUUGGUGUUUGUGACUUUGUAAGAACCAUGUUAAAGUUUCUGCUAUCAUCUAAAUGAUGUCAUGACUUAAAUGACCUCACACGAAAGCAUUAGUUUGUCCGAUAAUUUUUAUAUGGAGGAUGUUCUCUUUCUAGUUCAGUGACCUUACUUUUGCCACUGGGUAGUUUUCACAAAAAAGCUUUCAUAGUUUGUAUCCUUCCAUGAGCUUAACUUUUCUCUCCUGUUUAGGCUAUAUCUGUUAUCUUGACCCUAAUAUGUUGAAAGGUAGCCCUUCAGAACAGAAGGAAAAUACUGAACUGGCAGUUUGAGAGAAAAAUUGUUCAAUUUAACAAGGCAGUGGUAUUUAACGGGUUCAUAGCAUGUAGUAAAUGAAUUCAAAUUAUAGUUCCAGUGCUCUAAUACCUUAAAUAGAUGUGUUAGUAUCUAGCUGGUGGGACAAGAAAUAAAUGGUUAAGUAACAUUUACAUCACAAAGAGAAAGAAGGUCAAAGUCAUGCUUUAUCUUGGGUUGUGACAGUCUCUGUAAUUUCCAAGAGUAGGUGCAAUUUAAACAAAGUUUAUAACAGCAAAGUUGCCAUCUUAUUCCAGAAUGUCAGCAAAUUCUUUUACACCCUAAGGAGAAAAUUAGGAUGUGAAUUCUUGGCUGGGGGAUGGGGCAGGGGAAGGAAGAAGGGAUAGAAAUGCCACUGCUUGAGGGAAUGACGAGCCAAAGAGUUACUUUUCCUUCUGCCAUUUAAAUAAUUUCGGUUUGACAGGGAGAAGCCUUCAGUGUUUCAAGCUUCUCAAAUAUUUUAAAGAUAGUUUUAUUAGAACAAAGAACUAAUUAAACAAGAAGCAUAAAUAUAAUGAAACCACCACUUUUUAUCAUGAUCUAACCACAAAAAAACCCAAAAAUAUGAAAUGGUCACUCUUUAAUGAUUUGAGUCAUUUCUAUAAUCCUAGGGCACCAAUGAAAAGAGCUGAUAAAUUCCAUUCCAAAAGAGGUUCCACAAGCUGAUCUGUGAAAAUAAGGUCUAUCCAUUGAUACAUAUGACCUAUCCAGGCCCCCAGAUGUCUGACCCAGGAUGGACUAAUUUGAACAGAACCUGGCUUCUAUAUAUUAAAACAUUAGAAUAAUUGGAAUUUACUCCAGCGUGGAUUUUGAUGCAGAUUUCUUGAGAGUGUACUGAUUAGAAGGAAAUGUAAUUUUGUUUGAUAAUUAUAGGAAAGAAAUUAUUUUUUAAGAAUCGGUGAAUUUAUGUGUCAAGAUAAAGACUUGUGUUUGAAUAUUUUAUUAAUAAUGGUAACAGAUUUGACAAUUAAAAGAGAAUGACUUAUUUCUAGUUUUAAAGGACCAUAAUGGCGUAAGCAAACUGGUUCUUGUAUUACUAAACUUUAUUAUGCCCCAUUUAAAAUAUUUUCAAUUACAUACAAAUGUAUUCCUCUUUAUGAAUCUCUGUUUUUAAGCUCUGCUAGACAGAAGAAUGGCAGUGAAGGCAGAGGACCUACUCAAUCUUCUGAGGGUUAAUUGAGCUCUUAAAUAGGAUUAAGCUUCAUUCCCACCCUGAGGCCUGUCAUUUUUUUUGUUUUUUCUGUCUUGUUAAAUGAAUGUAGCCUAUUGUUCCAUAUUAAGAAAGUCUAUUUUUAAUCUGUGUGACCUCUCAUCCAAGCCAACUGGAACCAAUCCCACCAGGCCUUGUGAAGCUCUUAAAAAAAAAAAUCAUUUUGGGUACAUUCCAUUAAUAAUUCUUGAGAUACAGUUGUGUGGUUGUUUCUGUGUGUGCUUUAAGUAGACAUCUUCUAUUCUGAUCCAUGUUGCUAUGUAAAUACAGCCUGGUAGAAUUAAUCUUGCUGCUCAUCUUCCACCUUGUGAUGACAAAAAUCUCCAAGGGGAGACACUUUUGAAAGAGCCUCCUGUUGGUUCAUUCAUUCCAGAAAUACAUAUCGAGCAGCAACAUAUACUAGGUGUCUUUUUAGGUUCUAUCAAGGAAGCAGUUUAUGAAUAAGGCAUGUUCCUUUCCCUGAAGGAACUUAGUCUCAAUGUUUUAUUGGGCUAGCAUCUUCCUUUUCCUCUUCUCAGUUGAGAAUUUCUUAAACCACCUUAUCCAGAAAGCUUACCAGGAAAAGAAUCAAAGCAUCAAAAUGUAUGUUCUCAGGAUCUGAAAUGGGGUGCAAUUAAUUUAUUUUAAAAAAUCAUAAUUAAUCACAUAAGUAUUCGUGUGUAAUUGUAUCCAACACAUAAUAUUUUCAUAUAACUCCCUUAUACCACCAGCAUCUGUAUGCCCCUAAAGAGUGGGCCCAAUGCCAUUGGUAUACUCUCUAGCACAUCUGCUUCCUAUCUGUGUGGCCUUGAGCAAGUUACUUAACCUCCUCAUUUUCCCAUUUCUAAAGUAUAAAUAAAGAAGCUGCCAUGUUGUUGUUAUAAGGCAACAAUGCUUGGCACAAAAUAGGCCCUGAAAAAAUGGUAGCUGUUUUUUAUGAUAAUUAGUUGUGCUUAUAACUACCAUGUGUACAAGCCAAAUAGAAGCUAGCUGUGUUACUACUGCCCAUGUCUGAUCCAAGAGCUCUUAAAUGCUUCCUCAGGGCACCAAUUAACAGUUAAGCAGCCAUCCAUGUGGAAAAAAGAGAUCACUUUCUCUGUAAGCCUUUGAGUGAGUUACUUCAGACAGAAGUUAUCACAGCACACACAGAGUUGGUCAUAUUUUAACCUCUCGUUAGAAAUUCCUGUCUCUAUUAGGGUGAAGUUCUCUCUUGUGAACAGAUAAUCUUCAACUUUCACAGUUUGUCCAUGAGAAAUGUAUACCCUGCAUCCUAUUUUCCUAGGACUAUAUUAUCCACUACAUCCCUAGUCCCUGGGGUAAUUGGAUAGUGUCUUCCCAAUUCCCACCCUUCCUCCUUCACCCCCUACACACAGUCCUGUCAACACUGCCUUCUAAUCAACCCUCGUCCCUUCUCCCUGCCAUUGCAUUAAUGCAGUCCUCCACUUCCCAUGGACUUUUGCCACAGCAACCAGAACUGGUUUCCCUGACUCAACCUGUCAUUACACCAGUCUACUCUCUACACUGUCACCAGAGUGAUGUUUGAAAAGCACCACCUGAUCGUAUCAAUUUCUGCUUUAACUUUUUCCUCCUCCUAGCUCUCUACAGGGUAAGGUCAAAUUGCCUGUGUCAUACCUGGCCAUUUGUAAUCUGGAAGCAGUCUAAUGUAUUAUGCUAGAUAAUGUCCAUUUUGUUACCCAGAUCUACUACUUCUUGUCAACUCUGUGCCCUGGAGGCUGACCAAUGUGGACAGAAAGAACCAGGGGACUGCCCACCUUUUUGUCUUCCCUAUUCCUUCAAUUCCCUUCCCUGUUACUUCCCUAUUCCACCAAUAAGAGGAGACUGGGAAGAGAGGAAGGCAGGGUGUGACAUUGGGGCUGUGGAGUUGGGUAGUUAGCCCCCAUCUGUUUCCCAAGGAGUCCCUGCCAGCUUCUCUUAGGUGACUCUUUCCACACAAGUCCCAGGUACUGAAAACCAUUCUCUCCUCUGGCCUUUGUGGCUUCCCUAAAUUUAUAUAUAAUUCUGUUACUAAACUUUCCUCAGUUACCCAAUGUAGCAUCUGUUUCCUCUGAGGAGUCUCACCAAUAUACCUACCAAUAUUUUCUCCCCUUUCUCUUCCCUUGUGUUGGUUUGCUGGUUUGUUCAUCCAACUUCAGCCAUCUCAUACAGCCACAGAGCCCUUUCUAGCUCUGUGUCUUUCUACUUUUGCCUGCAUCAUGCAACCACUUUUCAAAAAUAUAGAUGAUAGGCAGAGAUAGAAAAGGAGAUAAAUGGCUUAUUUGGAGGGAAAAAGAUAUGGACAUUCAUCCUAAAUGAAUAUAAUUUCAUUCAAUUGCGUGAGAGAUAAAAAUGUCUACACUUAUGAUUUAGAACGUGUCCUCUAUUGCAUAGAUGCCUAUAAAUUAGAGAAUUAGCAUUGCAUUUCAGUCACCCAAGUGUGACUGAGCAUAUUUGAAAAGUAGCAGUAUAAAGUAAUAUGAAAUAUCUCAUUCUAAAGUUAAAUCACAGAACACGUCGCAAAUUUUGUCAGAAUGCAUGGCAGCUCUGAAAAAUAGACCAUUAUUAUAUUAACCAAAAAUGGCAAAGUUUUUGCCCUGAGUGACUUGAAAAUUCUGCUUGUUUUGUUAGAUCCAACAAUAUUGUCUCCUUAAUGAAUUACUUCCUAAGCAGAGUUAGUCAUUGAUUUUUCCGUGCCCCUAGAAAACUCUGUGUUUGUUACUGCAAUCUUAUUAUCUUGCUUUGUGGUAUGCCCUCAUGUCUAGGCCAUGAGCUUUUCUAGAUAAGGGGUAUUGUCUGUGUGCCCUAUAAUUAAAACAGCUAAUAAGCACAUAAGUGAGUGUUCUGUAAAUACAUGUUAACCAAUAAAUUAUAACUACAAAGAUGCUUUGACUUCAAUCUUAAUGAUUUAAUGUUAAUAUAGUUCUAAAAACUUAUAUAACUCACUCUCCCCCCUCCCAUUACUCCUACUACCCCCAUAACUGCCAAAUAUUUCAGCUGGGUAAUUAAUUAAUGGUGUUAUUUGUGGACCUAUCUCAUACAAAUAUGUAAAGCGCACCAUUGAGAAAGAUGACUUAGAAUCUGACUUUGUUUGCAUUCCUUGGUCAUUUUUCUUAGAAUGUUUGUACUCCUGCCUUUAGGUUAGUUUGUUGGCCAGAAAAUGUUAAAACCAAGAUAAUGAAUAAUUAUAGCCUGAAACACUUGUGAAAGAUAGCUUUCAGAAGCAUAUAACAGAUUCACAGUCUCUCCACAUUUUGUGUUGUGGCUAGUAAGGCAGAACAUAGAAAUCAAAUACUUCUUUGUGACAAAUGUGUGAGGGGAAAAAUCAGGGUUUUCAUAAUUUCAUUCCAAGUUCCUUGUAAACACACCUAAUAACAAAGCCCAGAUUUGAUGCCUUUUGGUAUUAAUUUUCUUGGCUGCCUUUGAUCACUGAGAAGAGAAAUACAGAUGACAAAAACAAAAACACAAAAAACCCAAAACUGAAAUGCAAAGAUAUUCCCCCUUUUCCAAUCUGAUUAUCAUUGCUUGAUUCAGGGAAUUAUCCAUGUGAUGUAUUUUGCUCUAAAUCAGGUUUCAGUAUCUACAGAUAUUGGGAUUUAAUGAAAGAACAAAAAUAUGACCACUCUAUUUCAGUUUUCCUUUGAAACAUUCUGCUCCAUAUCAUGUCUCCAUUUUAGUACAGAUCAGACUGGUUUUAGUGCUGUCUCACUAGACCGUAAGCAUCUUGAAAGAUGGAAUUUCGUUUUAUUCAACUUAUACUCCCAGUGUAUGACAUUACAGUAGUUGCUUGAUAUUUGAUAAAUAAAUGAAUAAACAAGAUCUUUUUUUAAAAAAAUCAACAAAUGCUUUACUCCAUACAUAUAAUACUCCCAGAGCCAAAUGCAGAAUCUUAUCAUUCUAUUCUAAGUGAAGUGCUUUCUGUGACUGCAAAGAACCCCAGCUGUUUUACAGGGUUCGGCAGGAUCUGAAAAUUGUCUUUAUCUGGCCAGGCUGGGCUUUGGCCAACAUUCCAAACUCUUUAUUCCCUUUCACUCUCCAAAAAUGAAUUUCAUUAUUUUUAUACUAGUAGCUUAUAAAUACUCACUUGCUCCACUUUUCUUAGUAUUAUGGUCUCUGUUUGCUUGCUUUUUUAUGAGGAAGGAAUUUAGGGUAUGCCCACACAUAACCUCUCAGUUUCUCUGAAACCCAAUGUAAACUAAUCCAUGAAAAGUUGGCUGUGGUUGACUGGGCUGUUGAGAGGAAACACAUUAGCUUUCAGGUAUCAAGGAGUUCAUGAAAAAUAUAAGUAAGCUAUUCUUAAAUGCCAAAAAUCUUGAAUUCAUAGGAUAUUUUUCAGUACAGGUAAUUUUCUAAAUCUAUUUCUAAAUGUUCUGUUGGUAUUUCAUUUAUUACCAAGUAGGAAAAGUAAAUCUAGUAUGUCACCAGAACCAAUCAAACAUAUUUCCUUUCCUUCCCAAUGAUAUUUCAAGCAGCACAGGUACAUGAUAAUUUCUCUUUAACGAGUUGCAAUUUGAAUGAUUCCCCCUGUACUUGGAGUGGUCUUCUCAGGUCUCCAUAGCCAAAGGUGGCUGGAUCUUUCUAUGACAUGUAGUGAUACCUGUGAUGUAUUCCUGUUCAUGAAUUAUCUUCCCUAUCAGGCUCUGAGUUCUUGAAGGUAUAAACGCCCUCCAUUUUAUCUUUGUCACCCUGCACCCAGUGUAGGAUCCUUGCACAAGCAGAUACCCAAACAAUAGUUUUGAAUCAUGCAUGCACUACAUUAAUCUUAAGUCUAUCAACUACCAUAACUCUUCACAUUUGACGAGCUUAAAACUUCUUCCUCCAAAAAGCCUUGUGCACAUUCUGUUCCCUGCUUCAUCCCUUGAAAGAAUGGCUAUCAGGACUGGGAAGAGGAAGCGAGGAACUACCAGUCCAUGCUAAUGAGGCAGUUUUGCAUUAAGUAUUUUAAUUGACAUUGACCUUUUAUCACUAGAAAAAUUAACAUGUCCUUCCAAUCCUCCCUGAAGAACAAUUUAUUAAAAGGCCCCUUUCCAUCAGUUUUGUUUUACAGAGCAAUAGAAGAACUUUCAGGUAGUUUGACAAUCUUAUCUGAUCAUUUUUAGAUGCCCUCAAAUAUUUACUUUUGCAGAAUUCACAGUGCACAGUUUGCAGUUCAGUUACUUUUAUUAAUCAUAUGAAUACAUAGACAAAUAUGUACCCACAAGAUAGUUGUACAUUGAUUCUACUUUCUUAGGGAGGUGCAUGUACUUUGGAAAGGUACACAUAACAAGUAUUACUUUGACCUGAGUGUGAAAUGACCUACCACUCUACUGGUAUGACUGUGCUUUUCUUCUCUCACUGACCCUCCUUUGGUUUGAAGGACUCUGAUUUGUUUUUCUAGAGGCAAAACUUUGAGAUCAAUCUCUCUCCCAGAUGGAUGCGUAAAUAUUUCUAUUGUAGACUAAAAAUCACAUUUUGAGAUGUGGUUUAUCUAAAUGAGAAAUCCAAGGCAGUUAUUAACAACCAUAACAAACUUACUCAUGCCCAAGACAAGGCUGGUGCCCAUUUUGUUGUGGGAAGGCUGUGCCGAACACCAGUCUGGCUAUUUCAGGAGAAUGGAUCAGGAAUUCAAAAAGCUAUUUUCUCCUGAUUACUGUAAUCAGAUAGAAAAGAUUUUAUAGGGCGCCUGAGUGGCUCAGUCAGUUGAGCAUCCAACUUCAUUUCAGGUCAUGAUCUCAUAGUUCAUGAGUUCAAGCCCCACAUUGGACUCUGUGCUGACAGCUCAGAACCUGGAGCCUGUUUGGAUUCUGUGUCUCCCUCUCUCUCUGCUCCUUCCCCACUAGUGCUCUGUCUCUCUCCACCUCUCAAAAAUAAAGAAACAUAAGUAAGUAAGUAAGUAAAUAAAUAAAUAAAUAAAUAAUAAAGAUUUUCUAGAAUUCUAGGAGUGAUGUUUAAGCAAAAUGAUCCCCUAAAGCCCCCACUUACCCACCACAGUGGGGUUUUGAUUUUUGUUUUAAAAUUUUGUCUAACCAGAAAACACAUUCCAGUGACUCCCAGCUGCUAAUAUUAUAAGCUUCUUUUUAAUAUAAAUGUUCAAUCAAUUCUUUCCUAGGGAUUUAAGGAAACUAGUAAAUGGAGGAUAAUAGUACAGUUCUUCACUUCUUUAAUUUACCUUUUUAAGUCUCUGGUCUUCUUGGAUAUAUUUAUCCAAAUAUUUUCCCUGCUGUGCUAUGAUUUCCUGAAAGGCAGACAUUUUCUCUUCAUCUGCAUAACGCCAGCCUCUUAGAAGGUCUUUGACUUAAUGUUUGUAGAAUGAAUGGUUGAAUGAAUAAUAACAGCAAGCAUUUACUCUGUGCCUGCACUUUCCUAAGCACUUUAUAGAUACAAACUCAGUAAAUCCUCUAGCAACCCUAUAAGGUAAGUGUUACUGUUUUCCAUAUUAUAGAGAUGAGGAACCUGAAAUUCAGAGGUUGCCUAAAAUACCCAAAGUCACACUUUGCCCGAGGCAGGAUUCAAAGCAAGCAACACAGACUAGUAUGCAUGCUCUUAACUACUAUGCUGUAUGCUGUAUGUAGUGGUUAAAUGCCAAGACUCCUCAGGCUGAUGAAUAAAUUUUUCCAUAACCUGACCUUGACCUUCCUUCCCAACCUUAUCUCCCAUCCUCUUCUAACAUGUACCUUCCGCUGUAGCCAUGGUAGCAACAACACUUUUCCCCUAAAUUUGCUUCUACGUAACUUGACCUUUGAUCCUCCUAUUUCCCUUCCAUAAAUUAACUCCCUCAGCUCCUAAGGUCUCAUUUGGGUCUCACCUUCACCAUGAAGUCUUCUAUGACGACUCCUGCUCAUAUUAAUUUUAUGCUUUCUGAAAUAUGGCCAUUUUCAUACUUAAUGGUAUAUAUGGAUUGUCGUUUUCUGUCAAGUGAUUCGUCUCAGCAUUGCCUCCAAUAGUCUUAAGCAUGUUUUUAAAAGUCACUUACCUGGGCGCCUGGGUAGCUUAGUUGGUUAAGCGUUCAACUUCCACUCAGGUCAUAAUCUCACCAUUCAUGGGUUCAAGCCCUGCACGGGGCUCUGUGCUGACAGCUUGGAGCCUGGAGCCUGCUUUGGAUUCUGUGUCUUCCUCUCUCUCUGCCCCUUCCCCACUCGUGCUCUGUCACUCUCUGUUUCUCAAAAAUAAAUAAACAUAAAAAAAAAUUUUAAAUCAUUUAGCAUAACGCUGUACACCUAAAAAGGGUAUUUUUAAUAAAUAAACUUUAUUUUUUAGAGCAGUUUUAGAUUCACAGAAAAAUUUAGUGGCAAGUACAGCUCAAAUAUAUGGCAUUCGUUUAAAGGCAAAACUAUGGAUUUAGUAAAAAGAUCAGGGGUUGGGGAUAGAGAGACAUGAAUUGAUGAAGCACAGAGGAUAUGGGGGAUAGGGAAGCUUUUCUGUGUGAUACUGGAAUGGUACAGCAUGUAGGAGCACCUGGGUGCCUCAGUUCAUUGAGUGUCUGACUCCUGACUUCCACUCAGGUCAUGAUCACAGGGUCCUUGGGAUUGAGCCCCACAUAGGCCUCCAUGCUGAGCCUGGAGCUUGCUUAAGAUUCUCUCUCUCUCUCCCUCUGCCCCAUUACCCCACUCUUUCUCUCUCUGUCGCUAGAAAUGAAAUGAAAUGAAAUGAAAUGAAAUGAAAUGAAAUGAAAUGAAAUGAAAUGAAAUAAAACAAAAAAUAAUGGUACAGUGUGUAGGGUUUUCAGAUUGGCUUCUUUCAAUUAGUAAUAUGCAUUUAAGGUUCCUCCAUGUCUUUUCAUAACUUGAUAGCUCAUUUCUUUGUAGCACUAAUAUUUCAUUAUAUUGAUAUACCUUAGUUUAAAGAGCUUAUUUAAUACAUUCUUUUGUUUGUUAUGUUUUUAAAGUUUAGUCAUUUAUUUUGAGAGAGAGCAAGCGAGCAAGUGUGCUCAAGUGGGGGAGGGGCCGGGGGGAGGGUAGAGAGAGAAUCCCAAGCAGAGCAGACUCCAUGCUGUCAGUGCAGAGCCCAGCAUGGGGCUUGAACCCACAAACUGUGAGAUCAUGACCUGAGCUGAAAUCAAGAGUCAGACUCUUAACCGACUAAGCCUCCCAGGUGCGCCUUAUUUAAUACAUUUGUAAUAUAAACACUUUAAAAAAAAACUUCAUUGAUCAUAAAAUAUAUUACACAGUCCACUUAUUUCAAUCUUUAUCCUUUCUUCUUUAGGCAAAAGUAAUUCUGUUCUCUUAACCAUUGACUUUCAUUACUUCAUUUCUUUCCUUUGGAAUUUCUUCAAGUUUUCAAAAUAAAAAUAUUACUACUAAAUAUAUAUAUAUAUAUAUAUAUAUAUAUAUAUAUUUAUAUAUAUGACAACAGCUGUUAUUUAUUGUGUACUACCAUAUAAUCUCUGAAAAGAGAGCUAGAUGACUCCUUAUACUAAGCUACACAGAACAUCAAUCCCUCUGGCUCCAAAGCUUAUGUGUUUUCUACUUCUUCAUGCUCAAAUUGCCAUUUCUUCGACCUCCAAGUGUUGUAAUAAAAGUGUGGUCAAAAUCAGUAAAACUGUAAUAAUUCAUAUAAUUUGUAUGAUCUACUUAUUUCUGUCUUUAUGCCUUUGCUCCUGAAGUUUACUAUUCCCAAAACAUUCUUCUAUUAUCUUUUUUCUCCAAACCACACUCUUCCUUCAAGGACUCACUUGAGUGCCACUUUUUCUACCAAGCCACCUCUAAUUGCCCUACCCUUUGAUGAACUCUUCCUUUGAAUCAGACAGGUUUCACUGCUCAUCUUAUCUUCUGCCCCUGAAAGGAGCAGCCUAGUAUCUUGCAACCCCUUAUUCUAACCCAUGGCUGGAGUCUGUUGGACCAGAGGCAGCCAAGUGGGGGUGGGGGUCACACUUGACUCAAGGUCAGAGAAUAACUGGCUGACCAGCGGACAACUUCUUUCUCUCUUUCUGCCCAUCUCUCCUUUCUCUCUCUCUCUCUCUCUCUCUCUCUCUCUCUCUCUCUCUCUCUGUGUGUGUGUGUGUGUGUGUGUGUGUGUGUGUGUGUGUGUAUUUCUCAGUUAAAUUAUGAGCUGAAGAAACAGUCAAACUACAACAGAUGCUUUGGCUAAAAAUUCAUAUGCACUGUGAGGUAAAGUAAUAGGAAACCAUCCUGCAAAGAAGAGCAGAAAAAUGGCACAAUUGGGCCAAGACAGAGAAGUGAGAGACAAUGCAAACUAGAGAAAGAGAUAAAAAAAGUAGCUGUUUCCAUCCCACGUGUCAGCUGCAACUCUCAGGAGGUCUCUGCCCCACGUCUGCACAAUAUCUCUGUAUCCUCAUGCCUCAGGCUUUUCGUCGGACCUAACAUGAACUAGUUCCUUGCACUCACAUAAUUAGGCAUCCUUCUCCAAACUCUUAUUGAAUGUGCAAUUAGUAUCAAAAAUACUCUGUUAUUUAAUGUUACCUGAUAUCUUCCAUCAUUCUCUGCUUCUUCUAUAUAUACACUAUCCCCCAAAAUAUGUUGUAAAAGAGCCUCCGUGAAGAGCAGGACGCCCUUUUGUUUGCUAUUUAGUUUGUUUUACUCCACAAGACCUACCCAAAACUAAUUAUUUAGUGAAUGUUCAAUAAAAUUUUAUUUUUUCACAGUUAUAUUGACUUUAAUGCUAAAGAGCUAUAUUACUGCUUCAUAAUUACCUGCAACCAUAGAACGUCUGUCCCAACUCUCUUAGCAACACUCAUCUACAUCAGGACCAUCUUAUCUUGUAUUUAUGAGACCCAUGGAUUUUCUCUUUUCCCUUGACCAAAUAAAUUAUCUCCGUUUAAAAACCACACUCAACUUCAUCCUGAACAUGCCAUUCAGUUUCUAAUUGACAUCGUAAUUUAUUUGAGCCAAGUGCUGCUGCCCCAGACAAUUUAAUACUUUCAAUAGACUGUAUUCACAUUCCCUCCUUCCACUAAACACAAUUAGUAAGAUGUUAAGUAAUAAUAUCUAACAUUGUGAAUCCACAAGAAGGAACAAAAAACAAACAAAUAAGCAGGGGGUGAGACACUUGACACAUUUUUUUAAUAAAGUAUCUUUAAGAGAAAAAAAUCAAAAUUCUGCUUGACAUACCUGUAUUCUACAACUUAGUAUUUUUUAAUUAAAAAAAGUCACCCAUGUGGGUUCCAUUUCAGCGAUUUUUCCCCCUAAGAUCUCUAACGGCUGUAUUCUAACUGCAAUGAUGAGGACAUUAGCUUUCAUCUAUGCAAAACAAACAUCAGCUAGGUAACCCAAAGCGGGGGGAUGAAAGGCUUUUCUCUUUUAUAAUUUUAGUAAAGUGGGAAGCUGACUUGUUUAUCAUACACGGGAAGUUGCAUUAUUUUGUAAUACUUUGGAGCACCCGAUUUGGGGGCCUUUACCAAAAAAAGGCAUCUCGGUCUAAUUUGUGACCCUGACACUGAGAUGGCACUCAUCCUUCUGCAGCUAAUCAAGAGCCAUUCUCCCAGAUGGUCCAUGACAACAGAACAUAAACAGAGCAGUGACCUCCUCAGCCUCACAUGCAGGGAGCGCCCUGAGCUUUUUGUGAUGCAGACAAGAGGACUGUGACACAGAGACCUUAGAAAUGUCUUUCCAAAUGGAGAUAGUCUGACUCACGUACAGAUGUCUUCAGGCAUUCCAAAAGCAUUCCCAUCUAGAAUGUAGGCCAAUUUUGAAAAAUGCCUGCAGAUCACAGAUACUGAGACAUUUUCCUAAAGGAAACAAAAUAUAAAAUUUCAGCGAAGUAAGUUUAGUUAGAUUACAGAUAGAAGUUAAAGGAAGCCAUAGUUCCUUUCUUUUCUCUCUCUCUUUAUUUAUUUAUUUUUUUUCUAGUAGGACUUAAGUGAGCCAAGCUAACAGCACUGAUCCAUAGAAAGAAUUCCACAUCUGGAAAGUCUUUGCUCCAUCUGUCAUAGGUUUCCAGCCUUUUGCUCUUUCUCUUCCAUUUCCCGUGACUUCAGUUUACCUCUCUUUUGUUUUCUUUAGUGAAAUUAUUCAACCCUUAGGGGUUUGGGGGUUUUAUUUUGUUUUGUUUUGUUUUUAGGAGGAAGGAGAGCAAAGGAAUACUUCAUAAUGUUUUUUGAUUCUCUAGAAUUUAGUCUCAUUUAUAUUUCUUGAAGUUUCUGUAUAAGUGAUAUAGAUAGUAAAAACUACAAAUAUCUGAUCAACUCUAUGGAAUUAUAUUUUAGAAAUACAUUAGGUAGACAAUGCUUUGAUUUUUAUGGUUGUACUUAUUGGUCUUAUUUUAAUGGUUUUGAUAUUGGUCUUAAACUUCUAAUUUGAGAGUCUUAUUUUGUUUAUCUCAAGUGAUAGAAGUUAAUAUCAUAGAAUACAUAGAAAUAAAGUUGCAUGUUUGUAUCAUAGCACUCAUUGAUAUCAUAUUUAAUAUAAUUAAGAAGCAAUGUUUAGUAUGGAAGUGCUGUCUCACCACAUCCCCUCCUCAGCCUUAAAUGCAUUAAAUGGCAUUGAUGUUUGGAGUUUCUUUUCUUGUCUGUCCUUACGUAUUCUCAUGGGAAUCUCACCCAACUAAAGCUGUAUCUCCACAAUCUCCAGCCCCAGCCUGUCAGCCAAGCCACCCUCUUCACCUUCAGCUGCCCCUGAGACUGGAUCACAGAAUGACCCACACCCCACAUCCUGCACUUUCUACUGAAGUGUUUUUGCUAAUACUGUUACCUUUUCCUGAAGGUUCCUUUCAUACUGUUUCCAAAUUUCUAUAUUUACCUCCUCUUUGAAACCUCCCAUGACUUCCUAUACUCUGAAAUCAGCUCUUUUCCCUAGAACUCUCAAAUACUAGACUUGAAGUUCUCACAAGGGUUUUAUUCCUUUAUAUUCUUUAUCAUGAUUAUUAAGGCUUAUUCUAUUAUAUAAUAAAACCCACGUCUAGUUUGUUUUUAAAUUCCUGCACAUAAAGGACACUCAAUUAUUUUUUGUUUGAAAGAAAAUGGCAUUUUUAAUUUGAAAAUAAAAGCAUAGCUUUUUAAUGCAAUGUUUAUUAAAAUGUUCAUCAUAAUUUUCUAGAAUGCUUGUUUAAGAAUUCAGAUUCCUAGGUGCCUCCAGGCCUACUGACUCAGAGUCUCAUAGACUCAAGAAUCUUAAAGGUAAUAUACUCUCCAGAGAGUUCUAGUCCAAGUAAAGUUUGAGGCAUCACUGGUUCAUGUCAGUGAAAGUUUUCUGGUUAUUCUUCCUCCACAUGCAUAUAAUCUUAAUACAUACUUCAGAGUUUGUACUGCAUAAAAAAAUCCUAAGGCUUAAGACAAAUGAUCGUGACACUGAAUGGCUAGUAAAAGGUCAUAUUUUAUUAUAAAUAUAACCAGAAAUAUCUCUGAAUGUCUUUUUUUUACCAGAUAGUGUACUGGGCUUAUAAAAAUAUUUAAGACACUAUCCUCAAAGAGCAUACAGUCAAAGUGAGAGAAAAGAUACAUAUGAAAAGUCUAUUCAACAAGCAGAGUAAUCAAAGAUGCCAUAUUAUGUUCAUAUAGUUUCACAUAUUUGCCACUAGCCAACUUAAUCAUUAUCCAACCAGUUAAAUAUAACAUUUUAAAGCAGUAAACAUAUUUGGACGUCCUAGCCAGAGCAAUUAGGCAGAAGAAGAAGGAAGAACAGGAAGGUUUUGUGGGGGGAGAAAUAAAAUCACUAUUUGCAGAUACCAUGAUAUUAUAUGUAGAAAACCCUAAAAACUGCAUUAGACAAUUGUUAGAGCUAAUAAAUGAGGUCAGUAAAGUUUCAGGAUACAAAAUUAAUACAGAAAAAUCUCUUGCAUUUCUAUACACUAAUAAUGAACUAUCAGAGAAAUUAAGAAAAUAAUCCCAUUGAAAUUACAUCAAAAAGAAUUUUAAAAACCUAGGAAUAAAUUUAAUCAAGAAGGCGAAAGACCUGUAUGUUGAAAACUUACAAGACCUUAAUGCAAAAAAUUGAAGAAGAUACAAAUAAAUAGAAAGAUAUUCCACGUUCAUGGGUUGGAAGAAUUAAUAUUGUUAAAAUGUCCAUAACUACCCAAAGCAACAUGCAGACAGUGCAAUUCCUAUCAAAAUUCCAAUGGCAUUUUUCAUAGAAGUAGAACAAUUAGUCCCAAAAUUUGUGUGGAACUAUAAAAGACCCCAAAUAGCCAAAGUAAUCUUAAGGAAGAACAAAGCCAGAGACAUCACCCUCCCUGAUUUUAAACUGUGUUACAAAACUGUAGUCAUUGAAACAGUAUAGUACCAGCAUAAAAAUAGACAAAUAGGUCAAUGGAACAGAACAGAGAGCCCAGAAAUAAACCUCUAAAUAUAUGGUCAAUAAAUUUGCCACAAAUAGGCCAAGAAUAUACAAUGGGGAAAGGAUGGUCUCUUCAACAAAUAGUUUUGGGAAAACUGGACAGCUACAUGCAAAAGAAUGAAACUGGACCACUUUCUCACACUGUACACAAAAAUUAACUUGAAAUGAAUUAAAAACUUAAAUAUAAAACUUGAAGCCAUAAAACUCCUAGGAGAAAACAUAGGUGGUAAACUCCUUCACAUAAGUCUUGGCAAUGAUUUUUUUGAAUCUGACCUCAAAAGCAAAAAUAAACAAGCAGAACCACAUCAAGCUAAAAAGUUUCUGCACAGCAAAGGAAACCAUCAACAGAAUGGAAAGGCAACCUACCAAAAGGGAUAAAAUAUUUACAAAUCAUAUAUUGAUAAAGAGCUAAUAUCCAAAACAUGUAAAGAACUCAUACACCUCAAUCGCAAAUCAAUCAAUCAAUCAAUCAAUCAAUCAAUCAAUUAAAAAAUGAGUAGAAGAUCUGAAUAGACACUUUUUUCCCAAAAAAGACAUGCAAAUGACCAAUAGGUAUAUAAAAAGAUGCUCUACUUCAUUAAGCAUCAGGGAAAUGCUAAUCAAAACUGCAAUGAGAUAAUCACCUCAUACCUGUUAGAAUGGCUAUUCUCAAAAAGAGCAGAAAUAACAAAUAUUGGCAAGGAUGUGGAGAAAAGGGAACUUUGUGUGCACUGUUGCUUGGAAUAUAAAUUGGUACAGCCUCUGUGGGAAACAGGUUCCUCAAAAAAUUAAAAAUAGACCUACCAUGUGAUCCAGUAAUUAUGCUUCAGGGUAUUUAUAUUAAAAAUAAUGAAAAUAUUAAUUUAAAAAGAUAAAUGCACCUCCAUGUUCAUUGCAGCAUUAUUUAUAAUAGCUAAGAUAUGUAAAUAACCUGUCUAUCAAUGGACAAAUGGAUAUAUGUACAAUGGAAUACUACUCAGCCAUAAAAAAAGAAAUCUUGCCAUUUGCGACAACAUGGAUGGACCUCAAGGCAUUAUGCUAUGUGAAGUAAGUCAGAUGAAGAAAGGCAAAUAUUGUAUGAUCUCUUAUGUGUGGAAUAUUUUAUAUAUACAUGGACACGGAGAAUAACAGAGAAUAAAACAGACUGGUGUUUGCCAGAGGUAGGGGUUAGGGGUGGGAGAAAUGGGUGGAUUUUUUUAGUUUAAAUAAAUUGAGCAAAAAAUAUAUAGCAGUGGAAAUAAUCCCAUCUGCAGACAUAGUAGGAAGAGAAAAAGAGAACAGAGACUAUGAAAUGAGAAACUGAAUAUCAGUAAGUAGUUUCACUCACAUUCAAUAAAUAGAUGUUUGCUUGGACCAGGUCCUUGUUUUAUGUAUAAAUUUUUCCACAGCUCUCUAUUUCCUCCUCUUCUCCUAGGCUAAACUUCCUCUCGGAAUAGCCCAGCAGGUAUUAUCGAGAGCUUGUAUGACAGAAUUCUGAACUCUGUGAAAUGGAGGACAUUGGGGGUGAAGGGGUAAUCCAGCAUGCGGCAGUAACUCUGGACAGUCACACGAAUGCCUUAGGGAAAAGGAAGACGAUGGCAGGUGUGAAGAUGUUCAGGGAGGGACAUGGGGUAAUGACAUAAACAUUACCUAAUUUCCAACUUGGUAAUCCUAGAAACAGCGCAAGUGACCCUGAAAACUCAUUACCACAUAUUGCUGAAAACUGAUAUAAAUGUUCUAAUUUUUCAGUAAGGUUACAGUCCUCAGCUUGCCCUUCAUGGAAUGUAUUUUCCCUGCUCCAGGUUAGUGCAAGUCCAGCCAAACGUCAGCCUAUCCAGUUCUCUUCCCUACCAUCUUUCUCCCUCACUUCUUCCCUCCUCCACUCGAAAGCUGAGAGCCCGGGGCCAAGGGAAAAAGGACUAGGAACAAGUGAUAUUGAUGAGCGCUGCUCUGCCUGCUCCUCCAGUUGAGUUGUCUAGGAACUUCCUUGGUCUAGACCUUGAGAACACAUCCCUUGAGAAUGCUUCCAGCCUGCUGAGCAACUUCAUGGUAACAACUAAGUGGCAAGAUGCUCAAGACACUUGAAACAGUGAGCUAAAAGAGGUCACCUGGUCUGGAACGGUCCAGAGAAGAUAAGGGUGAAAUAAAAGCCUUGAAAAACUGGGAGAUCAGGGAGAUCAAAAGCAAUUCUAGGCAUGGAAAACAAUGUUGGCAAAGUUAGAACAAUGGGAAUGCACACGGCAGGGUGAUGCAAUUGUGCAGCCCAGCCAGCUGGAGCACGGAGUGUGUGUUUGGGCGAAGAGAAAACUGGAAAAAUGGGAUGGGUCCAGACUCAUCAGGCCUUGGAGAGUGAUUCUAAUUUUUACUAAGAAUAGUAAAUCCUAUUAAAUUAAUCAGUGGUAUUACCCCAGUUGCAAAGAUCUAGACAUCCUUAUUCUUAACUCUGUAGUCAGUAGUAAAGGAAAAAGAAACAGAAAUCAUUUUUUAGAUGAUGUACUACAAUACCAGAAACCCAUUAGAUAAUAACUAUGAUCACUAUUUGUAAGGACUUUUAAUAUGUAGAUAUGACUUUUAAUAUGUAGCUAUUACAGGGGAUUUAGUAAAUGAGGUUAGAAAAAAAGUCAGAAACUUUUGAGUUAUGCUUUUGCUUUUGGUGAUAUGCUUUUAAAAAAUGAAUUCUGCUUUAUUAUAAUUCAACCAAGUGACAUCAUGGAGAUAAAGAAGAGAUAUAUGAGUUUAGAGAACUAACAAAAAUAGCUGCUUCUAAAGAUCUCCAGUUUUCUGAUUUUAGAGCAAAUCAUCAUCCUAAGAAAUGCUAACCAUUUCCUAAAAACUAGCUAGAUAAAAAGGUUUACUUUAGAAUAAUCAUAUUUUACACUUAAAUGACAAAAUGGCCUGCGCUGUUUCCUGCCACCAUCCAUCCUUUGUUUUUCUUUGAAUAUUUCAGUUUUCAAUGUUCUUAUAUCACUGAUGAUCUAUAGUCUUGGUACCAGAUGUGAACCACUCACUGUGCAUGAAGCUCCAAAGGCAAAAAUGCUUCCAUUUCCUUUCAACAUUUUUUUCCAAUUUCCAACUUGAGAUAUUAAAACUGCUUACUAUGUGGUUCUUCCACAUAAAUAACAAAUAGUAAGAAAUGUGCAAAUACCAACAAUUGUUCAUAUUUUUUAACGUUUAUUUAGUUUUGAGACAGAGAGAGACAGAGCAUGAAUGGGGGAGGGUCAGAGAGGGAGGGAGACACAGAAUCCGAAACAGGCUCCAGGCUCUGAGCUGUCAGCACAGAACCCAAUGCGGGGCUCGAACUCACGGACUGCGAGAUCAUGACCUGAGCCGAAGUCGGACACUUAACCGACUGAGCCACCCAGGUGCUCCAUCAACAAUUGUUUAAUUCAGAGGCUGAUUAAAUAAUUCACAAAACAGUGAUUUUACCUUUUCUCUCCAUCUAGAUACACGAGAACUAAAUUAACACCCAUUGAAAUACUCAAGCAAUUAUUAUCUCUACAUAUUUUAUGCAUAUAUUUAGAGCAAAGUUCCUAACCUGUUUAUGGUGACCUUUUUUUUCACUCUUCUGGUGACACAUACCAUUUUAAAAUAUAAUAAAAAUAGAGUCCUAGAAAAUAAAACUGAGGGGAAAAAAACAAAAACAUAAAAAAGAGAAACCAAAGUGUUUUAUCCUUAGAUUCAAUAGACUUAAAAUUACUCUGUCCAACUACUAUAAGAAAUUUCUAAAUGCUUCCUCUAGAUUUCUGUGCUCAUCCCUGACCAUUCAUCCAGAUUCUGGCCAGCCAUUGGCCACACAUUGAAAAGUCUCAAGGACCAUGAAGGCCAAGCCAGUAGUGAGUGUGAGGAAAAAUUAGGGUCAGAACCUCCUAAGUCUCCCAUUCAAGAUUAGGGAAGCAGUGCAGGCACCAUAUUUCUUCUAUCUAUUAAUGAGGGUGCCCCCCCCCACAACUGGAAAAAAAGGAGGGAAAGGAAGGGAAAGGAUUUUGUCUAAAAGAAGCACUUUCUAGCAAUCUCCACUGCCCAUUGUCAUCUGCUUUUUUUUCUUCAGUGGGAGUACGCUCGACUUUCUCUGCAGAUUCCUUUUUUCAGGUGAAGUUUGCAGAUUGCCACUUCCUGUACAGCAUAACCUAUGCAAAUGAAUAAUGAUGUUCCAUCUCCCUUAAUAGUACUGUGUUUCCCUUUCCCGGCUCUUCUUUUUACUUUCUUCUCCUGACUUGUCUUCCUUUAGCUUUUUGUAUGCCAGCCAGAAGAGUAAGAGUUUCAUUUUCUUUCCUGUUGUUUUUUCUUGCUUAAAAUAUUUGCAAAGAGGUUUUUGUCUUACUGGUUAUCAGAGAGACUAUGAAAGUUACAUGUUCUUUUUCUGCUAAUGUUAACAGGAUACCUGUUUACUUAAAUAAUCACUUUUUAAGAUUCCAUUAGGUGCCUUGGAAAGGAAUAUGUAUCCAUACAAAUAACAUAUCCUAAUACAAUAGUGCAAUCCAAUAGUAAUCUAUCAUUGAGUUGAAAUAUUUUUAUUGCUUUGGCUAAUAAUAUGCCAAUACUAAUAACAUUGUGUGAAAUUAUACUAAUAAUUAUUCAAUAUAGAAUGAGUCUUUUUGUGAUACCAUUCAAAUAAACUUUAUUAUUGGGGCACCAGGUGGCUCAGUUUGUUGAGUGUACAACUUUGGCUCAGGUCAUGAUCUCACAGUUCGUGGGAUCAAGCCCUAUGUUGGGCUGUCACAUGGAGCCUGCUUUGGACUCUCUGUCUCCCUCUCUGUCUGUCUCUCCCCUGCUUGUGCUCUCUCUCUCUC